AAAGGUUUGCUAUAGACGCAAUGAAAAGGGAACGAAGUGAGAAUCUUCGACUGUCUCGCAGCUGUAAGCUCCCUCAUCGUCGGUAAGCAAUAUGCCACUGUGACUUGUAAGACACUGUCAUGGGAAGGUGCUUAUCGAUGGAGCAAAGUCAGAAGACCUGCCUUGUGGCAA
rnacentral:ncRNA from 1 species